rnacentral:piRNA from 1 species
UGCCGUUAUGGUCUGUUCAGAUUGUCUCA